ACGAACGCUGGCGGCGUGCUUAACACCUGCAAGUCGCACGGAAAGGCCCUGCUUGCAGGGUACUCGAGUGGCGAACGGGUGGGUAACACGUGGGUGAUCUGCCCUGCACUUCGGGAUAAGCCUGGGAAACUGGGUCUAAUACCGGAUAGGAGCCAUUUUUAGUGUGAUGGUUGGAAAGUUUUUUCGGUGUAGGAUGAGCUCGUGGCCUAUCAGCUUGUUGGUGGGGUAAUGGCCUACCAAGGCGGCGACGGGUAGCCGGCCUGAGAGGGUGGACGGCCACAUUGGGACCGAGGGACGGCCCAGACUCCUACGGGAGGCAGCAGUGGGGAAUAUUGCACCAUGGGCGCAAGCCUGAUGCAGCGACGCCGCGUGGGGGAUGACGGCCUUCGGGUUGUAAACUCCUUUCGCUAGGGACGAAGCUUUUUGUGACGGUACCUAGAGAAGAAGCACCGGCUAACUACGUG
rnacentral:rRNA from 1 species